GUGGGACGAUGACGUGCCCUCCAGAGAAAAUCCAUGUGUCAGAUCUCCACUUACAAUUUUUAUUAGAGUGGGGCUGAAGGGAAUGCUACCAGAUGAAAACCCAGGCCUACAAAAAAAUAAUAAAAAGCAUUGAAAAUGAUUGCAACCAGAACAUGAGACGAGACAGAAAAUCUAAGCAGCACAAACGCGAACUUGCUUAGUGUGGCAGAAUGCCCGAGGGCGCCGGGAGAUGCUGAGAGAGGGAAGGAGAGACCAGGAAAGGAUGAGGAGAAAGGACCACAGAGAGGACAUAUGGG